rnacentral:rRNA from 1 species
UGGGGAAUAUUGGACAAUGGGCGAAAGCCUGAUCCAGCAAUGCCGCGUGAGUGAUGAAGGCCCUCGGGUCGUAAAGCUCUUUUACCAGGGAUGAUAAUGACAGUACCUGGAGAAUAAGCUCCGGCUAACUCCGUGCCAGCAGCCGCGGUAAUACGGAGGGAGCUAGCGUUGUUCGGAAUUACUGGGCGUAAAGCGCGCGUAGGCGGCUACUCAAGUCAGAGGUGAAAGCCCGGGGCUCAACCCCGGAACUGCCUUUGAAACUAGGUGGCUAGAAUCUUGGAGAGGUCAGUGGAAUUCCGAGUGUAGAGGUGAAAUUCGUAGAUAUUCGGAAGAACACCAGUGGCGAAGGCGACUGACUGGACAAGUAUUGACGCUGAGGGACGAAAGCGUGGGGAGCAAACA